GGUUAAGCAAUUAAUCUAGAUGAAUUGAGAACUAGCAAAUUAACUGAAUCAAGCGUUUUGGUAUANNNNNNNNNNNNNNNNNNNNNNNNNNNNNNNNNNNNNNNNNNNNNNNNNNNNNNNNNNNNNNNNNNNNNNNNNNNNNNNNNNNNNNNNNNNNNNNNGCAAGGUUAACCGUAUAGGGGAGCCGUAGAGAAAUCGAGUCUUAAUAGGGCGUUUAGUUGCUGGGUAUAGACCCGAAACCAGGCGAUCUAUCCAUGAGCAGGUUGAAGGUUGGGUAACACUAACUGGAGGACCGAACCCACUGUCGUUGAAAAGCCAGGGGAUGACUUGUGGAUAGGGGUGAAAGGCUAAUCAAGCCUGGUGAUAGCUGGUUCUCCCCGAAAGCUAUUUAGGUAGCGCCUCGGACGAAUACCAUAGGGGGUAGAGCACUGUUUCGGCUAGGGGGUCAUCCCGACUUACCAAACCGAUGCAAACUCCGAAUACCUAUGAGUACUAUCCGGGAGACAGACUGCGGGUGCUAACGUCCGUAGUCAAGAGGAAAACAAUCCAGACCGCCAGCUAAGGCCCCAAAAUCAUAGUUAAGUGGGAAACGAUGUGGGAAGGCAUAGACAGCUAGGAGGUUGGCUUAGAAGCAGCCACCCUUUAAAGAAAGCGUAAUAGCUCACUAGUCGAGUCGGCCUGCGCGGAAGAUGUAACGGGGCUAAAACUAUGUGCCGAAGCUGCGGAUGUAUACUUUGUAUACGUGGUAGGGGAGCGUUCUGUAAGCCGAUGAAGGUGUGUUGAGAAGCAUGCUGGAGGUAUCAGAAGUGCGAAUGCUGACGUGAGUAACGACAAAACGGGUGAAAAACCCGUUCGCCGAAAGACCAAGGGUUCCAGUCCAACGUUAAUCGGGGCUGGGUGAGUCGACCCCUAAGGCGAGGCCGAAAGGCGUAGUCGAUGGGAAAAUGGUUAAUAUUCCAUUACUUCUGUGUAAUGCGAUGAGAGGACGGAGAAGGCUAAAUCAGCCUGGCGUUGGUUGUCCAGGUGAAAGGAUGUAGGCAUGUAUCUUAGGCAAAUCCGGGGUACUCUAUGCUGAGAUCUGAUAGCAAGCUGUACUUGUACAGCGAAGUGGUUGAUGCCAUGCUUCCAGGAAAAGUCUCUAAGCUUCAGUUACACAGGAAUCGUACCCGAAACCGACACAGGUGGUCAGGUCGAGUAGACCAAGGCGCUUGAGAGAACUCUGCUGAAGGAACUAGGCAAAAUGGUACCGUAACUUCGGGAGAAGGUACGCUGUUGUUGGUGAUGGAACUCGCUUCCUGAGCUGACGACAGCCGCAGAAACCAGGCCGCUGCAACUGUUUAUUAAAAACAUAGCACUCUGCAAACACGAAAGUGGACGUAUAGGGUGUGAUGCCUGCCCGGUGCUGGAAGGUUAAUUGAUGGGGUUAGCGUAAGCGAAGCUCUUGAUCGAAGCCCCAGUAAACGGCGGCCGUAACUAUAACGGUCCUAAGGUAGCGAAAUUCCUUGUCGGGUAAGUUCCGACCUGCACGAAUGGCAUAAUGAUGGCGGCGCUGUCUCCAGCAGAGGCUCAGUGAAAUCGAAAUCGCUGUGAAGAUGCAGUGUACCCGCGGCUAGACGGAAAGACCCCGUGAACCUUUACUGCAGCUUGACACUGAACUUUGACCUUACUUGUGUAGGAUAGGUGGGAGGCUUUGAAGCUGGAACGCUAGUUCCAGUGGAGCCGUCCUUGAAAUACCACCCUGGUAAUGUUGAGGUUCUAACUCUGUCCCGUGAUCCGGGACGAGGACCGUGUCUGGUGGGUAGUUUGACUGGGGCGGUCUCCUCCUAAAGAGUAACGGAGGAGUACGAAGGUGCGCUCAGCGUGGUCGGAAAUCACGCGUAGAGUAUAAAGGCAAAAGCGCGCUUAACUGCGAGACCCACAAGUCGAGCAGGUACGAAAGUAGGUCUUAGUGAUCCGGUGGUUCUGUAUGGAAGGGCCAUCGCUCAACGGAUAAAAGGUACUCUGGGGAUAACAGGCUGAUACCGCCCAAGAGUUCAUAUCGACGGCGGUGUUUGGCACCUCGAUGUCGGCUCAUCUCAUCCUGGGGCUGAAGCAGGUCCCAAGGGUAUGGCUGUUCGCCAUUUAAAGAGGUACGCGAGCUGGGUUUAGAACGUCGUGAGACAGUUCGGUCCCUAUCUACCGUGGGCGCUGGAAAUUUGAGAGGAUCUGCUCCUAGUACGAGAGGACCAGAGUGGACGAACCUCUGGUGUACCGGUUGUGACGCCAGUCGCAUCGCCGGGUAGCUAUGUUCGGAAGGGAUAACCGCUGAAAGCAUCUAAGCGGGAAGCCUACCUCAAGAUAAGAUUUCCCUAGGACUUUAUGUCCUCUAAAGAGCCGUUCGAGACUAGGACGUUGAUAGGUUGGAUGUGGAAGCAUAGUGAUAUGUGAAGCUGACCAAUACUAAUUGCUCGUGAGGCUUGACUAU
rnacentral:rRNA from 1 species